rnacentral:rRNA from 1 species
GAUGAACGCUGGCGGCGUGCCUAAUACAUGCAAGUCGAGCGAACGGACGAGAAGCUUGCUUUUCUGAUGUUAGCGGCGGACGGGUGAGUAACACGUGGAUAACCUACCUAUAAGACUGGGAUAACUUCGGGAAACCGGAGCUAAUACCGGAUAAUAUUUUGAACCGCAUGGUUCAAAAGUGAAAGACGGUCUUGCUGUCACUUAUAGAUGGAUCCGCGCUGCAUUAGCUAGUUGGUAAGGUAACGGCUUACCAAGGCAACGAUGCAUAGCCGACCUGAGAGGGUGAUCGGCCACACUGGAACUGAGACACGGUCCAGACUCCUACGGGAGGCAGCAGUAGGGAAUCUUCCGCAAUGGGCGAAAGCCUGACGGAGCAACGCCGCGUGAGUGAUGAAGGUCUUCGGAUCGUAAAACUCUGUUAUUAGGGAAGAACAUAUGUGUAAGUAACUGUGCACAUCUUGACGGUACCUAAUCAGAAAGCCACGGCUAACUACGUGCCAGCAGCCGCGGUAAUACGUAGGUGGCAAGCGUUAUCCGGAAUUAUUGGGCGUAAAGCGCGCGUAGGCGGUUUUUUAAGUCUGAUGUGAAAGCCCACGGCUCAACCGUGGAAGGUCAUUGGAAACUGGAAAACUUGAGUGCAGAAGAGGAAAGUGGAAUUCCAUGUGUAGCGGUGAAAUGCGCAGAGAUAUGGAGGAACACCAGUGGCGAAGGCGACUUUCUGGUCUGUAACUGACGCUGAUGUGCGAAAGCGUGGGGAUCAAACAGGAUUAGAUACCCUGGUAGUCCACGCCGUAAACGAUGAGUGCUAAGUGUUAGGGGGUUUCCGCCCCUUAGUGCUGCAGCUAACGCAUUAAGCACUCCGCCUGGGGAGUACGACCGCAAGGUUGAAACUCAAAGGAAUUGACGGGGACCCGCACAAGCGGUGGAGCAUGUGGUUUAAUUCGAAGCAACGCGAAGAACCUUACCAAAUCUUGACAUCCUUUGACAACUCUAGAGAUAGAGCCUUCCCCUUCGGGGGACAAAGUGACAGGUGGUGCAUGGUUGUCGUCAGCUCGUGUCGUGAGAUGUUGGGUUAAGUCCCGCAACGAGCGCAACCCUUAAGCUUAGUUGCCAUCAUUAAGUUGGGCACUCUAAGUUGACUGCCGGUGACAAACCGGAGGAAGGUGGGGAUGACGUCAAAUCAUCAUGCCCCUUAUGAUUUGGGCUACACACGUGCUACAAUGGACAAUACAAAGGGCAGCGAAACCGCGAGGUCAAGCAAAUCCCAUAAAGUUGUUCUCAGUUCGGAUUGUAGUCUGCAACUCGACUACAUGAAGCUGGAAUCGCUAGUAAUCGUAGAUCAGCAUGCUACGGUGAAUACGUUCCCGGGUCU